rnacentral:tRNA from 2 species
UUUAGCUCAGUUGGUUAGAGCGUGCGACUCAUAAUCGCCCGGUCGCUGGUUCGAUUCCAGUACAGCGUACCA